UGCAUCAUGGCUAUCUCCUGAUGCCCAAUAAUGGACGACAUUUGUUUAAAUGGUCACUCAUAUUCGCAUAAACCAGUCUCCAUGAUCUAGGAUUAGUUUGAGAUUUGGAAGCAUCUCCGUUACUCACUGAUUAUCCGUAGGUCUUAUCAUUAUUUGUCCAACCUUUCCCUCAGCUGAUAAUGCUUCUGCACAUAUUCCUAAAUAAAGCCAUCUUUUUAGUUGGAGCAGAGUAUCUGUUGCAUCCUCUUGAAAAUGUGAAGAUGCUGGGAUUGGGGCCCAGUGAAGUCCUGGUCAAGCUUUAAAUGGCAUCAGCAAAGGAGCAAUUUUGGAGAAAGGACAGCUAAUACGUUGUAUUAAUGCUAAUGAUCAGACUAAAUUCCACCUUCAUCAGAGGUUGGAGAGGCUUUACUCAUUGGCUUGAAAACUAGAGAGAGAUCUCCAAUCUUGACCAUUGUGACUGCAAGAUCAUUGUUUCAGAUAUUUUGUAGCCUAUCAAA